UAUAACCUGGCAACCCUGUCAAUGGCGCUGCCGGUCCUCUAUCUCUGAGUCAACAUGUUACGGAAAAUCAAGUAUAUGAUGGCCUUCAUUGAACAGGAAGCCAAUGGGAAAGCAGAAAAAAUUGAUACAAACUGCCUCCCCGUCUUGCUGGCAAGUUUGGUAAAGGGUAAUGCCAUGACUGCCUGAACCAGGUUAUGAGGACAAACAGCGACAAUAAUGAGACAGAAGUGGAGUUUAACAUUGAAGAGGGCUGUCUGGACCUCAAGAUCAUGGCGUAUUAUGAGAAAAAAUAAAAUUCAGAUCGACCAGCAGAAGAACAUAUGAUGCCUGAGGUUAGAGGGGCUCUUUUCUGUGCCAACCUGAACCGUACAUUUUUAGGAUUAACAGAUGAUGCUGAUGGAGACAAAGGUUAAGGUAUCAUUGGAUGUGCUACUGUGGACAAGCCUCUUAUUUGGACUGGAUAUGUGGAAAGUUGAGCAGAGCCUAAGAACACCCAGUGUCUGUGACACCCAGAAUGUUUGUUUUCUGAGGGAAUGGUUAAACAUGGAAAAGAACACCAUGGUCAUCUCCAUCUUCCCAACUUCAAGCACUUAUCUCUAGGAUCUUCCAAAGUAAGAAACUUGUUUAUGGGACACGAUGUGAGGGAGAAUGUGUGUUGGCUGGUGUUAAGGGUAGUGUUUUAUCCUACCUCUUCAGUUCACCACUGCUCCCUUCCCAGCACUGUGGGUUAUCUGAUUGUAACCUACACUGCAAAACAUAUAUGAAUGCAACAAUUCCCAAAAUUUGACUUAGUUACAGUUUAUAUAAGGAAAUCAGUCAAUUGAAAUAAAUUCAUUAGGCACUAAUUUAUAGAUUUCACAUGACUGGACAUGGGUGCAGCCAUGGGUAGGCCUUGGAGGGCAUAGGCCCAACCAAUUGGCAGCCAGGCCCAGCCAAUCAUAAUGAGUUUUUCCCCACAAAAUGGCUUUAAUACAGACACAUACGGAUGUGGAGGUCCUGGGCUGACGUGGUUACAGGUGAUCUGCAGUAGUGAGGCCGGUUGGACGUACUGCCAAAUUCUCUAAACCUACGUUGGAUGCAGCUUAUGGUAGAAAAAUGAACAAAUUCUCUGGCAACAGCUCUGGUGGAUAUUCCUCCAGUCAGCAUGCGAAUUGCACGUUCCCGAAAAACUUGAAACAUCUGUGGCAUUUACUGUCCCCAGCACAAGGUGCACCGGUGGAAGGAUUAGCUUGGCAAACAAAAAAUGCUCACUAACAGGGAUAUAAACAAAUUUGUGCACAAUCUGAGAGAAAUAAAAACUUUGUGUGAAUGGAACAUUUGUGGGAUUUUUUUAUUUCAGCUCAUGAAACAUGGGACCAAAACUUGAACAUGUUACGUUUAUAUUUUUGUUUCGUGUAGAUUGUCCCUUUACCUUCCCUUGCGGAACAAUCAAGGUAUUUUUUGUUUUCCGUAAGGUGUCCAAACUCCUAAAAGGGUGGCUGCUGUUGUAUUCUGUUUGAUGGUUGUGUGUGUGUGUGUGUGUAUAUUUAGUGUUGAAUGGGAAUAUAGUGGAUUAGAGAAUGGAUGUCUUUUAUUGUUACUUACCAAUGUGAUUAAUAAUAGAUACAUACAGAAAUGUGAAUAUUCAGUAUUUUCAUUUGUAGUUCUCUCCAAUUAAUACUAAAAUGGUUAUUCCAGACCCAUCAUAAAAUGUAGCGUUCUGCUUUAAAAAUGUACAAAACAAAAUGCUUUUAUUGCCACCUUGUGGAUUUACACCAUAGAGAGUUCACAAGAA